AAAGCUGCCACUGUAUGAGGAUAUUGUGGUGGUGGAUGAUCGAGCGGACCACCAGUACUGCUGACCGGACUGCUGAACACCCCUACAGAACAGAGUGAGAUUUCGGAUAUGUGCAAUGACAAACAGCCACAGAUCCAGGAAGAGGAGAAACAACCACCACCGUGACAGAGCCCGGUUUGCGCAGAAUGUCUAUCAUCUGGUCAUGGCUUAGUGUUGCCACAAUCAUGCCAUUGAUCUAGAGAUAAAGGUCAAUUUCAAUAAAGUCUGCAGCCUUGUCUCAACCCAGCCUGGUAGGCAUAUCCGCCCAUCUCAACAUCUGCAACAAGACCCUCGUAUUGCACAUGGAACCCAAGCUGUCCAUGAACAUUACGGCGUAGAUCAUCACCAUCACCAAGGUUUACAGUGUCAUAAUGGGGUUCUGCUGCGCUUACUAGAGUGUCGGCAGAGAUGGCCAUCACACACUCAAUCAUGGUUGAGUUCCUGUAGUCUUCCACCUGCACAUGCCAAGCCAGGCCUCCACGGCACACAAUCUCAGGACAAAUCGGAGGGUGAAUCUUCUCUUUCUUUUUGCUUGACAAAGAGAACUUCCCUACAGUUCAACAGAUCAAGCAAAUAAAUAAUCAUUUUUGUAACAGAUUUUCUUAGUAAAAUAGAGUCUCUGUAAUCAUGAAGCAGUUUCCUUACCUAUAUAUGCUUUAUCUAUCACUCUUUUAUUAUCUAAUAUGCAUAUGUCUUGUAUAUAGUUAUCAUUGGGGAAAAAUAUUAACAAUAUUGUGCAAAGCUAAAUUCCUUGCCAUGAUGAAUGAACUUACCAAAUGAUUUAGUUCCUGAGUCUAGGGUGGUUCCUGAGAUGUAAUUUGUCGCCAGGUCUUUAAGGUACUCAUGCCUAGUUCUGGUUGCCAUAGCACUAAACUUCUCGGAUUUAUGGGCAGCAUUCUCAGCAUUUAUUACUUAAAAAACAAAAUUAUGCUAAUGAAAAUAAAAGAAAACAGAGGUAAUAAUAAAGAGAAGAGAAACAAGCUCUUACUUUUUGCCAAAAGGAAGUUUGCAAAUGCCUUCUGCUUGCCAAAUUUAGGCCCGGCUGGUAUCGGAGGUCCAAAAGGCGGGACAUCUUUAGAGCGACUCAUUGCCACCCUUGUUGAAAAAAUAUACAAACAAUGUUGAUUUAUUUCCCUCUUCCUAUAAAGCCUAGACAGAACACCUAGUUUUUCUACAUACAUCUAUUCAAAAGAACUGUGUAAUAAUACUUUCUCAAUAACAGCACAUGAUUCAUAGAUGAUUGAAAGCAACAAAUGUAUGCAAGUGGCCGACUUGAUGAAAUAGAAUACACAUUUGUCGCUUUCAUCAAAUCAUGUCUAUAGCCAUGUCACAUGUAUGGAUCUAUGCAUCAAUGCUGCCUUUUGUACUUAUGUGAUGAGACAAUUACCUAUAGUAUGUGUUGUCGCUACAGGGGUUGAACACUCGGAUGACUAUGAACACAUGUUGAAAGUGUGAGCGGAUGUUCUUGGGUGUGAACGCCAGUGCUCCAGGUUCUUGGAAUACUAUAGUGACAAUGUCAUUGCCGAUGUGGCGCUUUCUCAAAAGCUGAAAUUCAGAUUAGACAUAAAGAUUCGUUACAGUACAACACCAUUCUAUAAUCUUCGGUAGUAAACAUCAUCCUAGAGAAUAAUAAUAAUAUAACAAAUAAAAUAAAUCUAUUUCUA